GACGAACGCUGGCGGCGUGCUUAACACAUGCCAGUCGAGCGGAAAGGCCCUUCGGGGUACUCGAGCGGCGAACGGGUGAGUAACACGUGAGUAACCUGCCCCAGACUUUGGGAUAACCCUCGGAAACGGGGGCUAAUACCGGAUACGACACAGCUUCGCAUGGGGUCUGUGUGGAAAGUUUUUCGGUUUGGGAUGGGCUCGCGGCCUAUCAGCUCGUUGGUGGGGUGAUGGCCUACCAAGGCGACGACGGGUAGCCGGCCUGAGAGGGCGACCGGCCACACUGGGACUGAGACACGGCCCAGACUCCUACGGGAGGCAGCAGUGGGGAAUAUUGCACAAUGGGCGGAAGCCUGAUGCAGCGACGCCGCGUGAGGGAUGACGGCCUUCGGGUUGUAAACCUCUUUCAGCAGGGACGAAGCGUAAGUGACGGUACCUGCAGAAGAAGCGCCGGCCAACUACGUG
rnacentral:rRNA from 1 species